UUUGACUGGGGCGGUCUCCUCCCAAAGAGUAACGGAGGAGCACGAAGGUGGGCUAAUCACGGUUGGACAUCGUGAGGUUAGUGCAAUGGCAUAAGCCCGCUUGACUGCGAGAAUGACAAUUCGAGCAGGUGCGAAAGCAGGUCAUAGUGAUCCGGUGGUUCUGAAUGGAAGGGCCAUCGCUCAACGGAUAAAAGGUACUCCGGGGAUAACAGGCUGAUACCGCCCAAGAGUUCAUAUCGACGGCGGUGUUUGGCACCUCGAUGUCGGCUCAUCACAUCCUGGGGCUGAAGUCGGUCCCAAGGGUAUGGCUGUUCGCCAUUUAAAGUGGUACGCGAGCUGGGUUUAGAACGUCGUGAGACAGUUCGGUCCCUAUCUGCCGUGGGCGUUGGAAGAUUGAAGGGGGCUGCUCCUAGUACGAGAGGACCGGAGUGGACGAACCUCUGGUGUUCGGGUUGUGUCGCCAGACGCAUUGCCCGGUAGCUAAGUUCGGAAUCGAUAACCGCUGAAAGCAUCUAAGCGGGAAGCGAGCCCUGAGAUGAGUCUUCCCUGAUACUUUAAGUAUCCUAAAGGGUUGUCGGAGACUACGACGUUGAUAGGUCAGGUGUGUAAGUGCUGUGAGGCAUUGAGCUAACUGAUACUAAUUGCCCGUGAGGCUUAACCAU
rnacentral:rRNA from 1 species